rnacentral:rRNA from 3 species
GGACUACUGGGGUAUCUAAUCCCGUUUGCUCCCCUGGCUUUCGCGCCUCAGCGUCAGAAAAGGUCCAGCACGUCGCUUUCGCCACCGGCGUUCCUUCCGAUAUCUACGCAUUUCACCGCUCCACCGGAAGUUCCACAUGCCCCUACCUCCCUCGAGACCGGCAGUAUCCAAGGCCAUUCUCUCGUUGAGCGAGAGGAUUUCACCCCAGACUUGCCGACCCGCCUACGCGCCCUUUAAGCCCAGUGAAUCCGAACAACGUUCGCACGGUUCGUCUUACCGCGGCUGCUGGCAC